GACGAAGGGGGCUAGCGUUGUUCGGAAUUACUGGGCGUAAAGCGCGUGUAGGCGGUUGCCCAAGUCGGGUGUGAAAGCCUUGAGCUCAACUCAAGAAAUGCACUCGGUACUGGGUGACUAGAGGACCGGAGAGGAUAGUGGAAUUCCCAGUGUAGUGGUGAAAUACGUAGAGAUUGGGAAGAACACCAGUGGCGAAGGCGGUUAUCUGGACGGUUUAUGACGCUAAGACGCGAAAGCGUGGGGAGCAAACAGG
rnacentral:rRNA from 1 species